rnacentral:rRNA from 1 species
UUGACCUCGGAUCAGAGGGAUACC